ensembl:lncRNA
CUACCUGAUAUUUAAUGAGGUUCUGCAUAGUCAGGCCACUCAAAUGGCUGUUGUCUUGCUCUGUGUACACCCCCUGGCCCACCAGAGCCUGCUUCACCCUGCAAAGAGCUGACCUUCUAGGAAGGUACUUGCCCCAGGUCCCAGCUGGUGAUUGUUCUCAUCAAAGGGACGGUGAGGGGCGUGCCCUCUACUGGUUUCCCUGGUAACUAGUGAGCCUGCUGCUGCUGCUAAGUCGCUUCAGUCGUGUCCGACUCUGCGACCCCAUAGACAGCAGCCCACCAGGAUCCCCUAUCCCUGGGAUUCUCCAGGCAAGAUCACUGGAGUGGGUUGCCAUUUCCUUCUCCAGUGCAUGAAAAUGAUAAGUGAAAGUGAAGUCGCUCAGUCGUGUCUGACUCUUAGCAACCCCAGGGACUGCAGCCCACCAGGCUCCUCCGUCCAUGGGAUUUUCCAGGAGCGAAGACUGCCUGCGGUCCUGUCCUGCCCGCCGUCUGCUGCAAGCUCUGGGGUGUCCUCCAGGACCUUGCUUCAGACAGUCCAUUCUGAAGGAGAUCAGCCCUGGGAUUUCUUUGGAAGGAAUGAUGCUAAAGCUGAAACUCCAGUACUUUGGCCACCUCAUGCGAAGAGUUGACUCAUUGGAAAAGACUCUGAUGCUGGGAGGGAUUGGGGGCAGGAGAAGGGGACAACAGAGGAUGAAAUGGCUGGAUGGCAUCACUGACUCGAUGGACAUGAGUCUGGGUGAACUCCGGGAGUUGGUGAUGGACAGGGAGGCCUGGCGUGCUGUGAUU